rnacentral:rRNA from 1 species
UACAGAGGGUGCGAGCGUUGUCCGGAAUCACUGGGCGUAAAGGGCGCGUAGGCGGCUUGAUAAGCGUGCGGUGAAAGCCCGGGGCUCAACCCCGGGUCGGCCGUGCGAACUGUCGAGCUGGAGCACUGUAGAGGCAGGUGGAAUUCCGGGUGUAGCGGUGGAAUGCGUAGAGAUCCGGAAGAGCACCAGUGGCGAAGGCGGCCCGCUGGGCAGUGGCUGACGCUGAAGCGCGACAGCGUGGGGAGCAAACGGG